GAUCAUGGCUCAGAUUGAACGCUGGCGGCGUGCUUAACACAUGCAAGUCGCGCGUGAAAGGACUUCGGUCCGAGUAAAGCGGCGCACGGGUGAGUAACGCGUGGAUGAUCUACCCAUGAGCUAGGAAUAACGGCUGGAAACGGUCGCUAAUACCAAAUACGCUCCGAUUUCAACUUCGGGGGAAAGGUGGCCUCUGCUUGCAAGCUACUGCUCAUGGAUGAGUCCGCGUCCCAUUAGCUAGUUGGUGGGGUAACGGCCCACCAAGGCGACGAUGGGUAGCCGGUCUGAGAGGAUGACCGGCCACACUGGGACUGGAACACGGCCCAGACUCCUACGGGAGGCGGCAGUGGGGAAUAUUGCGCAAUGGGCGAAAGCCUGACGCAGCGACGCCGCGUGAGGGAAUGAAGGUCCUCGGAUCGUAAACCUCUGUCAGGAGGGAAGAACCGCCACGGUGCUAAUCAGCCGUGGUCUGACGGUACCUCCAAAGGAAGCACCGGCUAACUCCGUGCCAGCCGCCGC
rnacentral:rRNA from 1 species